UGGGAAAUCUGAAACCCAGUCUGAGCAGAGAACUUAUGCGUUUGCAGUAGCUAAACGUCAGGAUAACUGCUAAUCAAAAGUGAUGUAGUAGUGAAUGACCUCCGCUAGCGUUUUGUUACAAAAUCAACUUGACAGCAGAGCACGACUGCAGAUUACGAAAACCCACUGGAACCUUCGAAACACACGCAAAACCCAAUGCAGUUGUUAGAGGAAGACAGAAAUGUUGCAAUGUUUUGUUGGCAUGUCAUCUACCACUCUGAGUGCACUCGUGAUCCAAGUCACGCCUACCAACCAGACUGAUAGUGUUUACUUUCAUACUUAGUGGAUCGCAGAGUAGCAAUUAGCAAGUAAACAGCUACCACCUUGGGCCUCCCAAGAUGUGACCGUAAGCAGCAGGAUCAAGGAGGAUCGAAAUGAACCAAUCGGCGUCACGCUUGGAAAAUGCGUACCUGAACGGGAGCCUUCUGUAGCCAAUCACCAUCACGCACUGUUCAAAUUGCAAAUACGCGGGCACUUGGACUCAACCGGCAGUCUGUUUUGGCGGUUCGCUGUCGCGGCGUCUGCAAGAGGAUUAUGCUUUCACCUACCACAUGUACAGCGCAGUCCAGCGACUUGGGUCCUAGUUGACGUGGUUUGUAGAGAUGUCUACGUGCCGUGAAUGUCGCUCUUCAGAUGUAGAAUGAGCUAGGCUGUUUCACAUUUUCCUGUUGAUAUUGUACGUAGAUGAAACCAUCGAUGAAGAAGCCUAAGCCAGCCGAAAACAGAAAUGUCGGUAGUUUCUUCAAGUUACGGACAUGGAUGGAGCUUGCCAGGGAUUGUGGCUUUUGAACAAGAUUCAGGAAAAACAAACUAGUAGAAAACGAUAAAAUCCUCAAGUAUAGAUGAAUGCUCAACCAUGCAGAGGUCGCUCGUCCUACGACGGUUCAACUGAAAGAAACCACAUCAGCGAUUCAUCACCUGGGCAAAAGAAUCAUCAGUGAAAAAGCAGAUAACUGACAAGGACUGCUACUGAACGUGAAAAGAAAGCAGAGACACUACACUUCUAGAGUGCAUUUUUUUCUAAUCUAGAGUAAGCGUGCCAAAUGGUUAGUAGCACGUAAUUGCAAGAUGUGGCGAUUAGAUAAGGUAACUGGAAAUAUAAUCAGACAUGAUUACAA